CUUUAAUCUAUAGUCAUUUCUAAUAAAGAACACUCAGUACCUACCAGCCAAAGCACUUUAAGUGAUUCUUGCCAAGACUCAUUUAAGCAUAUUAUCUCUUGGCCGAAUUAUCAGUCAACUAUAUGCCUGUCCUUUUACCAUUUAUAAACUUGUUGAAUUCUUCAAGUGAGGCCGUAGAUAUUAACCUUUGAAGUGGGGAUGGAUGAUGUUUUGAAGGAGUUGAGGAAAAUCUCUUUUUCUGGUUGUAAAGAUCAUAGAUCGUUGGAAGAAAAUUAGAAACCAGCAAAUGAGGAAAUGACAAGGAAGGAGAAGUUAGACCAUCUGGGGCUGUGGGAAGGUCUGGCAGAGAGAAGGUACUCGACAGUGGCAGUACUUGGAAGGCCAGACUUCAUCUCGCUGUAUCCAAGGACUGACUGAAGCAACACAGACAAGGGCCAUUUAUGGAAGUCGAAGAAGUGAUUCUAAGUAUAGACAUCCAGGCUAAUGGGAGGAAAAGAUGGGCCACUGGAAGGGAAUUUGAUGUUUAUAAGACAGUUGUCCUCUUUGAGGACAGUCUCUGGGACCUGACUCCCAACAUCCAGAUCUUAGUUUUACCAUUUAGUUAGUUGUGGGACAUUGGGGAUU
ensembl:lncRNA